AGCCUUGUGGACAAAAAGAUAAGUCGCUGUGCCUCUCAAGCACGGAGAAGCGGGUGCAACUCCCGUCGAGGCUUCCA
rnacentral:tRNA from 1 species